rnacentral:rRNA from 1 species
UACGAGAGGCCCAAACGUUAUUCGGAAUUACUGGGCUUAAAGAGUCCGUAGGCGGCAUGACAAGUAGGGUGUGAAAGCCCUCGGCUCAACCGAGGAAUUGCGCUCUAAACUGUCGUGCUUGAGGAACCUAGAGGUGAGCAGAACAGAUGGUGGAGCGGUGAAAUGCGUUGAUAUCAUCUGGAAUACCAGUGGCGAAGGCGGCGACCUGGGCCAAUACUGACGCUGAGGUGCGAAAGCGUGGGGAGCAAACAGG